GGCCUCCUCAGCUGGACUGGGCAGCAGGGCGGCCUCCUUGGCUGUGCAGGGCAGCGGGGCAGCCUCCUCAGCCUGUCCCUCUGAGGUCGCCAUGUUGACCUCAGGUGAGAGCUCCACAGCUGAGACCUCCCCAUAGGCCUCAGGCUGGAGCUCUGCUGUCCUCACUGCCCCCCCCCAAAAAAAUUUCUGGGUAUAUGGCGCGAGGGACGACGUGGCGCGCAGCUCGGCUUUGCACUGAGAAAUGUCCUCUGCGAGCUGUUUGCUCAACUCCAGGGACGAACGGAGAAGCGCCCAAAUACUGGCCUCUUCGGCGGCGCUCAUAGCGACCUGCUGCUUCCGCAUUUUUGGCGCAGUAUUUUGUCACGGAUCGGGACUGGAGGCGGAUGCAGGUGCAGGUCACCGUCUUUAUUAUUUAAACAAGAAACAAACAAACAGAUAAACUAACACAGGGAGCGCGGUCUCUACGGACUAUACUCACUCUGGUCCCCUAGCUACGACCGCUAGCAUGCUACACAUUAGCACAUACCCGUAUACUUCCCUCACUUGACGAACUAAACCAACUUUAAUACUGCGCGAUGUGCGCAGUCACCCGGGGGGUUUUAAAUAACAAACUUAAUUAACUCAAAACAUGGGCACCUGUGGCAAAUCAGAGACAUACUCAAACUUAACUCAGUGUCCAAGCGGGAAGUGAACGAAAACAAAAGAGUCACGUGACCAGUCAGCGGCCGUACCGCAGUGCCCUCUGCUGGCCGUGGCGUAACACCUAGAGAAACAUAAAAUAAGGAUGAAGCAGUUGUACAACGUACCCUUUGAGAGAAACAGUGAAUGUGUGAAAGAAACUUGGUAUCAAUAUGUCCAGAGAGUAAGGGAGAUGGACGGCAGGCAAACUGCACAUGCAUUCAUCUUUGUGCCAGCAGAGGACAGAAGCAGAGGGGCAAGAAACUCCCCUACCAUCACUGUUGUGUGGGAUAAUUUGGAAUUCCACCAUUCUGUUGCAGUCACAGACUGGUUUGAUGCACAACCCAGGGUGUCAGUACUUUUCCUGCCUUAAUACUCCCCCCUUCCUAAACCUAAACCUAAAGGUUUAUGACCACCAUUCACAUGACAAGAUGUCUUUCCUGAAUGCCAUGAAUGCGGG
ensembl:lncRNA